GUAGGGUGCGAGCGUUGUCCGGAAUUAUUGGGCGUAAAGAGCUCGUAGGCGGUUUGUUGCGUCGGCCGUGAAAACUUGGGGCUUAACCCCGAGCCUGCGGUCGAUACGGGCAGACUUGAGUUCGGCAGGGGAGACUGGAAUUCCUGGUGUAGCGGUGAAAUGCGCAGAUAUCAGGAGGAACACCGGUGGCGAAGGCGGGUCUCUGGGCCGAUACUGACGCUGAGGAGCGAAAGCGUGGGGAGCGAACAGGAUUAGAUACCCUGGUAGUCCACGCCGUAAACGGUGGGUGCUAGGUGUGGGGGGCUUCCACGUCCUCCGUGCCGCAGCUAACGCAUUAAGCACCCCGCCUGGGGAGUACGGCCGCAAGGCUAAA
rnacentral:rRNA from 1 species